AUUUUUCCUUCAUCUGAAUGGUUUUCAUUUUCAUUAACGCGGACGUUUGAAUUUGUUUCAGGGAUGUAGGAAAAGUUAUUCAGUUGGACCUAGAAUUAGAAAAAAGAAUUUUAGACAAAAAGAAUUUUAUACAUACUUCCAGGUUAUCCAAAGAACUAUGCAUCUAUGUCACAAAAUAUGGCAUGCAAGAUCCAUCUAACCUAU
rnacentral:lncRNA from 1 species